rnacentral:rRNA from 1 species
AACGAACCGUGCAAACGUUGUUCGGAAUCACUGGGCUUAAAGGGCGCGUAGGCGGGCGAUCAAGUCUGGGGUGAAAGCCUCCAGCUUAACUGGAGAAGUGCCUUGGAUACUGGUCGCCUCGAGGAAGGUAGGGGCAUCUGGAACAAUGGGUGGAGCGGUGAAAUGCGUUGAUAUCCAUUGGAACUCCGGUGGCGAAGGCGAGGUGCUGGACCUUUUCUGACGCUGAGGCACGAAAGCCAGGGGAGCGAACGGG